UACGUAGGGUCCCGAGCGUUGUCCGGAAUUACUGGGCGUAAAGAGCUCGUAGGUGGUUUGUCACGUUGUUCGUGAAAACCCACAGCUCAACUGUGGGCGUGCGAGCGAUACGGGCAGACUAGAGUACUGCAGGGAGACUGGAAGUUCCUGGUGUAGCGGUGGAAUGCGCAGAUAUCAGGAGGAACACCGGUGGCGAAGGCGGGUCUCUGGCCCG
rnacentral:rRNA from 1 species